rnacentral:rRNA from 1 species
GUUCAAGAGUGCACUUCAUUGUGGCUCUAAACCUUUUUCAAUAUACCUUUCACCCUUUUUUAAACCCAAAGCUGUUAUGUGUGCCUUGUGGUAUAGCAUCUCAGUAGUACGCAUCAUGUGGAUUAUUUAUAAUUCACAAGUUGCAUUACCCCCCCCCUUUUUUUAAAUUUAACACUAUAUAAAAAGUUUUUAGAAUGUAAACCCCCUUUAAAUUAAUAUAACUUUUAACAAUGGAUCUCUUGGCUCUCACAUCGAUGAAGAACACAGUGAAAUGUGAUAAGUAAUGUGAAUUGCAGAAUUCAGUGAAUCAUCGAAUCUUUGAACGCACCUUGCACCUUUUGGUUAUUCCGAAAGGUACACCUGUUUGAGUGUCAUGAAACCCUCUCAUUCCAAUUUUUUAUUAAGUUAAGAAGUUGAAAUGGAUGUUGGGUGUUGCCGUCAUUGGCUCACCUUAAAUAUAUAAGUACUUUUAUUGAAAAAUAAAUGGAUAUACUUGGUGUAAUAUUUAUUAUUCAUUGAGGAGUGUGGUGCCUUAAAAACACUACAGCCAUUUGAACUUUGAUAGAUAGCUUCCAAACCCCAAUAUAUAUAUAUUUUUAGACCUCAAAUCAGGUGGGACUACCCGCUGAACUUAAGCAUAUCAAUAAGCGGAGGAAAAGAAACUAACAAGGAUUCCCCUAGUAACGGCGAGUGAAGAGGGAAAAGCC